UUGCUAUGGUAGUCACAUGUUGGAGCUC
rnacentral:piRNA from 1 species